rnacentral:rRNA from 1 species
CACGUAGGGGCCAAGCGUUGUCCGGAUUUAUUGGGCGUAAAGAGCUCGUAGGCGGUUGGGUAAGUCGGAUGUGAAAUCUCCAGGCUCAACCUGGAGGGGUCAUUCGAUACUGCCGUGACUAGAGUUCGGUAGGGGAGUGUGGAAUUCCUGGUGGAGCGGUGAAAUGCGUUGAUAUCAGAAGGAACGCCGGUGGCGAAAGCGACGGACUGGACCUCUUCUGACGCUGAGGCGCGAAAGCUAGGGGAGGCAAC